UGGGGAAUAUUGGACAAUGGGCGAAAGCCUGAUCCAGCCAUGCCGCGUGUGUGAAGAAGGUCUUCGGAUUGUAAAGCACUUUAAGUUGGGAGGAAGGGUUGUAGAUUAAUACUCUGCAAUUUUGACGUUACCGACAGAAUAAGCACCGGCUAACUCUGUGCCAGCAGCCGCGGUAAUACAGAGGGUGCAAGCGUUAAUCGGAAUUACUGGGCGUAAAGCGCGCGUAGGUGGUGAGUUAAGUUGGAUGUGAAAUCCCCGGGCUCAACCUGGGAACUGCAUUCAAAACUGACUGACUCGAGUGUGGUAGAGAGUCGUGGAAUUUCCUGCGUGGCGGUGAAAUGGGUAGAUAUAGGAAGGGACACCCGUAGCGAGGGCGACCACCUGGACUGAUACUGACACUGAGGUGCGAAAGCGUGGGGAGCGAACA
rnacentral:rRNA from 1 species